rnacentral:rRNA from 1 species
CCUACGGGGGGCAGCAGUGAGGGAUAUUGGUCAAUGGGGGAAACCCUGAACCAGCAACGCCGCGUGAGGGAAGACGGUUUUCGGAUUGUAAACCUCUGUCCUCUGUGAAGAUAAUGACGGUAGCAGAGGAGGAAGCUCCGGCUAACUACGUGCCAGCAGCCGCGGUAAUACGUAGGGGGCAAGCGUUAUCCGGAUUUACUGGGUGUAAAGGGAGCGUAGACGGCAGCACAAGUCUGGAGUGAAAUCCCGGGGCUUAACCCCGGAACUGCUUUGGAAACUGUGCGGCUGGAGUGCAGGAGGGGUAAGCGGAAUUCCUAGUGUAGCGGUGAAAUGCGUAGAUAUUAGGAGGAACACCGGUGGCGAAGGCGGCUUACUGGACUGUAACUGACGUUGAGGCUCGAAAGCGUGGGGAGCAAACAGGAUUAGAUACCCCAGUAGUC